rnacentral:misc_RNA from 1 species
AAGUCGUAACAAGGUUUCCGUAGGUGAACCUGCGGAAGGAUCAUUAACGAAUAUCUAUGGCGUUGGUUGUAGCUGGCUCCUAGGAGCAUUGUGCACGCCCGUCAUUCAUAUCAUCUUUCCACCUGUGAACCAUGUGUAGGCCUGGAUACCCCUCGCUUUGGCAACAAAGCGGAUGCAAGGAUUGCUGCGUCGACAAGGCCGGCUCUCUUUGAAUUUCCAGGUUCUAUGUCUUUUACACACCCCAUUUGAAUGAUUUAGAAUGUAGUCAAUGGGCUUUCAUGCCUAUAAAAAACUAUACAACUUUCAGCAACGGAUCUCUUGGCUCUC